rnacentral:lncRNA from 1 species
ACAAGUCUAUUUUAUGGUGAUCUAAAAGAGUUGCAAGCAUGGAUGCUCACUAGAAGCCUAUUUUCUACACUUGGAGCUUCACAUCUUCUUGUUCUUCAUCAUCUUUUUUUCAUCCAGAUCUUCCCUAGCCUAAGUGCUAUUAGAAACUAAAGGAUCUGGCAGGUGUCUGCACAUGUCAAGCUGCGUUGAAUAAAGAUGUCGUCCAGGGUAGUUGGUUUAGGACGUGUAACCCUUACCUGGACGGGUUACAUAUCCUUAAAACACAUCUUAUUUUAAGUCUUUUGUGGUGUCUUAUGAACACGUCUUAAACAAGUAUGGUUUGUAAUUUGUCUUAAGUGUCAACAAUUUUCAAAACAAUGAUGUUGUGGUAUUGUUUAACUUAAUGAAUGGAUGAACAUCUUGUGUU